UCUGCGACGUGCUCCAAGUAGCUUAUUCAUGUCCUUGACUAGCAGGUACGACCUGGGACCCCUAAUACCAAGCAUGACGAUGUGCAAUAGUGUUGUAGCGCGCAUGACCAGAGCAUGACGGCACAACGGUGCAGCAAGGUGGUGUAUACCACCACGAGGAGCAAGAGCGCCAAACAGCUGGCUUUCAGGGAGGUGGUGCGGUGGAAUAAUACGGCUUGGGCAUUUCCGACGAGAUGUGGCUCGAGCGGAUGUCGUCGAUGCGACAAUGAGAAGAUCCUCUUGGUGAUCCCUCUCCCUCCGUUUUGCCUCUCAUGCUUCAGGUUUCUGUGUUCUCAAGGGAGAUUCAUUGGUCCUUUUCAAGGUUUGUUUUAUUAAUCUGUCAUAUUUAAAUGGAAAAAGGUGCAUGGGAAUUUCUAUGGAAAUGUCACUCAAGGAGGGUCACACAUAGCUCACAAUUGGGUGAUAUCCUUAUGGCCGACAAGGAUUGAUCCUCAUUCAAGAUGGAAAGUGUUGAUUUCCGAUGAAUGCCAUAUACAUUUAUUGUUUCUUAGACAUUGAAAGUUAAGGAAAACACUUGUUUGAUUGGUCCAGUGCAGCUUGCGUCUGAACCACAAUUCCUGUUUGAGUCUGAACCACAAUUUCCAGAAAGUGAAGGAAAACACUUAUUUGAUUCAUUUAGUUGUAGCUGUUGCGGGUUGCAGAUACCCAAUUAGGAUUCAUUUAGUAUUGAAUGCUUUCAUUUUCACACCUAUACUGAAUUAUCCAAUACUAAAUUUAGGAUUUGUUUUCUAGUUACACCAUCUAUUUGUUUUUUUCAGUUCCUACCAAUAAGUGUGAAUUAUACUAACAUGUCUUGAACUCUUUUGCUUGGUCAUGAGAGGGGCACUGGGUGAAAAUGUUGGCAUAGAAAUUCAUAACAUGAAAUAAGUGGUCGGGGUCUGGUCAUGGGCUUGCCAAAUUUAGUUGCAAUUGGAGAUGCAUAUUUUCCACAUGUUGAUGUUGUUUUUUGUUGCUUGCCAUAGGAAACAACAGAGGGAUUACGAUGAGCAAAACUGAAACAUGAGUCCAGCUACCUAUAGUCCCGGUGAUGAAAUAUGUUAUUGUCUUGUAAAGCAGUUAUUAAACUAACAAAGGACAACAUAAUGGAUAGAUGACAACCUCGUACCGCAGAAGCA